GUGAGCUUCUUGUUGGGUUGAAUUACAUAUGUCGUUAUGAACAUCAGCAAAAUGCUCUAUUGGACUGUGCAAGUAGCUUUGAUUUUGAAGACUGCAUGCAUUGGCAAAUGCAGUGCCGAGCUGCUUUUGUUGAUUAAUUUCAUUGCUGAAUUUAGAUAAUUGAAAAAGUUUGUAAAGCGUAGUUGUUGACUCUUGAUACUUGUAUGAAGACACAAAUGACAGUUCAACAGGAUCAAUAUCUUAGCUUUGCAAAUCAAUGACUUGCAUUGUAGAAGAUGUGAGUUGAUCAAUGUACUUUUCUCCCAGGUAUUGGAAAAUUUUGACGUUUGAAGUACAUAAAUUUAAUUAUUUACGGGAAAAAAGUACAUUGAUCAACUCACAUCUUCU
rnacentral:misc_RNA from 1 species